AUGCCCCGCCCCCUCCUCCACCGGGCUCCACCCCUUCCCCGCACGCCUCCUUGCCAUCGGGCGCCGCCCCCUUCCCCGCGUGCCUCCUCGCCGCCGGGCGCUGCCCCCUCCAGAGCGCGCCUCCUCGGCGCCGGGUGCCAGCCCCUUCCUAGCUAGCCUCCUCGCCGUUGGGCGCUGCCCCCUCCAGUGCGCGCCUCCUCGCCGCCGGGCACCGCCUUCUCCAGAGCGUGCCUUUUCAUCGCUGGGCGCCGCUCCUCCUACACGCACCUCCUUGUCGUCUGGCACCGCCCCCUCCUCCGCAAGCCUUCUCACCGCCGGGUUCCGCCCCCUUCUCGCCGGCUGGCGCCGCCCCCUCCUCGCGUGCCUUUUCUUCGCCGGACGCCAACCCCACCCUGCUGCCGGGCGUCCGCCGUCGGGAUCCAACGCCCAACACCACGGUCUCUGUUGUCCUGCUGUUUCACAUGGGAGGUGUUAGCCUCCUGCACCCGCCGGAUCCAGUCAUCCCCUUCCGUUCACCUCUUCCACCCGAGGCCAUUCACCAUCGCCACCAGUUCUCAUUCAACACCGGCCCCAGAAUCCCGUGCGUCAAUGAAGCCGCUGUCAACCCAUGCGAAGCUUCAAAAGAGGUACAGUUCAGAACUUUAAAUACCCAGAGGUUCAGUUUUGAACUUGCAAUGUCUCCAGGAAUGUUACUACAUAAAUGUUUCAGUUUGAGUUCAUAUUGAAUCACAUGUGCCAUCUUGCUAUCUUUUGGAAUCAAUAAGUUGCAUGGAGAUAUCACAGAACAAUUGUUAAACAGGAUGGCAUGUAUGUACCAAUAAAAUGGUGUGAUGUGUUCAUAUUGUGUGAAGUUCAAGAAAAAGAAAAAGGAAAGUUCAAGCAAAAACAAAACUCAGGGAUUUCACUCUUGAACAAGAAAACAAGAAUUUUUUUGUAAGUUUUAUGUGUUGGGGGGGGGGGGGGGACAGGGCCAUUGUUGGUUGCCUGGGUCAGUUCAUGUGCAACCAUUGGAGGAGUUCAAAAAAAUCAGAACUCAUGUAUUUCCACAAAAUUCUGUAACUUUCAUGUGUGUGCUGCUACAAAUAUGAACUAUUUUUCCAAUCAUACUAGUACUGAUGCAAUCACCUAAAUAAGUUGACAAAAAAUUCUAUAAGUUUGGCGCAUGUCCUGCUAAAGAUCUAAACUUCUUGUACAGUCAUUCUAGUACUGAUGGAGAUCGAGUUGACUGAAAUAAUGUAGUCGAUUCCUGAGACCCUUACUAGUCCUUUAUAUAUAGAAGUUGUGCCUGAUAGCCAUACAUGGCUUUUCUCUUUUUUGCCUACUUGUUUUGUAAAAUUCUUUGAACUUAUUUAGGUGGUAUAUUUGGACCUUUGCCUCGUUAGUACAACAGCACACUCCAUAGUCGGUCACGAGAAAAGCUACGUGCAGGCCACCCAGUGCUCCAUCCUCGAUCCGGCUUAGUUAUCUCCCUCCCAUCCUCUCUCUGAUGUGUGUGUGUGCAGGGAGUCGGAGGAGAUAAAGCAGGGGAUUAUUGAUGUGCCUGAUUGUUGCUCUCCUGUUGCCGUUGCCGAGCACAGGGGGUGGUCGCCGGCGGCUCCAUUCUCGACCCAGCUGCUGCCCUGCAUGCAGCCACCCUUGGAGACCACCCGCCACCACGACCGUCGUUGUCCAUCCCCUACAUCGACGGUGCUCAAGCGGCUCUUCUCACUGGCUCCUACGACUCCCUCAUUCGCCAUGGAUACAACCAUCAUUGCAGGUGUGGAGAACCAAAAAGUUAUAAUAAUGGUGAAUCAGAAGUUCAAGCAUAGUAAUCUGGGGGCGUGGGGGCAACUGCUGAUAGAGACCGAGUCAAAGUGUCGUGACUGCUGAUGCAGAUCUUCAGCAUGGACUUUGAUGGAGAUACUCCUCUAAUGUCCUACUUCCAGAAGAUAUGAGUGAGAUGCGAUGGGACCUGACCAGAUGCUGAUGUUGGACUAGAAAAUUUAGUGAAAAACUAUUCUGUACUAAAAGAACAACUAUGCUUUGUCGGACAAGCACAAUACGAGCUUGCGAGAAACAAAAAGAAGUUAAAAAAAUGUUGUGCCCGGAGUUCAUAUUAUUUGCUACCCCGUGAUAAUAAAAAUAAGAUGUAUGCAUUGCUUCUUGGCCCAGCUUGAGAGAACCCUCAUGUUAAAAAGUAUAAAGCAGUUUUGGUAGCUCAGGCUUCUUUAUGUUUUGGAGAUCUACAGAGUGACUAUCUGAGAGCUGUGCUGGACUUUCUCAUUACAGCAUGGAACUUCUCUAGAAAUCCCAGUUGAUUUUUAAUGUUUGUUCCUCAUCACUUCUAAAAAUCUUAGAGCAUCCAUCCAACUAUGUAUCAGGAUAUACUAUGUUGUAAAUUUAUGUAUGCUUGUAUGUGCAAAAAUAUAUUACGGUUGUUGCUUC